CAUAGCCUCAAGCGAUCCUCCCACCUCUGCUUCCCAAAAGUGCUGGGAUUACAGCUGUGAGCCUCCGCGCCUGCCACAGGCUUUAUUUCUUAUGCUCCUUCCUUUUUCCUGGAUGCCUUUCUAACUCUGUAUCUGGCACAUAAAGGUGCUCCGUAUGUGUUUGUUGAAUGAAUGAAUGAAUGAAUGAAUGAAUGAAUGAAUGAAUGAAUGAGCGAACAUGCCAUUUCACCUUAUGUAUCUUGUGAACCCGCCAGGCCCAGGCCUGAUGUCAUAGCCUCUACCCAUGGCCCGAGUCUCCACUCCCCUGCAUGUCUGCUGGCCACAGCGCGAACGCCGAGGCACCACCCUUCCCAACCCCAGCUCCGUCCCCUUCCCCGCCGGGGUACCCCUGUCCCUUUCCCCGCCGGCUUCCCAGUCCCGGGACCCACAGCCUCCAGCUCAGCCGGAGGUGUCCCCGCCCACAGCCAGGAUUGGAGGACGGAGGCAACGCCCACUCCUCCCGGCGGCCUCCUAUUGGCACGGCUGCCGCCAGGGGCGGGGACAGGGCCGGGCGCCAGCUGCUGCAGUCCAGGCCGGAAAAGGUCAGGCCAGUGGCGAGCGCGACACUGUCCGCGCGGCCCGGCGAAGGUGAGUGCGCCGCGGCAGGACGGGCGGGACGGGCGCGGAGGACGCCGAGAACCGGGCGCGCGCUCACGUCCGCGUCACUAACGGCUGCGCUCGGCCAAGCGCAAUGCCCUGAGCUCGUAGUCGGCCCGGCCCGGGGACCUUGCUGGCCAAGGAGGUCGUCAGUCAACCCUUGUCUUCCAGACCUGGAGGACCCAAGCUUCCGGACGACGAGGAACCGCCCAACAUGGCCUCGGAGGUCCCCCUGAGGACAGCCUGAGUUUACAAUCUCUAACACCAAGUGAGGAACACAUUGAUGAUGUCCAGCUCAUCCUGAGGACAGCCUGUUUUUAAGAUGCUCACCACAAUGCAAAGACGAAGAUGGUGAUGAUGAUGAUGUUGAUUGUGAUGUUGAUUGUGAUGAUGACGAUGAUGAUGAUGUCCAGACUUAACGCUGGAGAGUAUUAGUGAUGAAGAGACUCAUCCAGACCCCUGACCACCUAUGUGUCACCAGCACCCUCUUUGUUAGAGACUUUCAACAUCAUUGUACAGAAGGAAAUAUGAGAGAGGGUGAGAGGGAGCUCCCCGCUUGAAGAUACAAGGGAAGACAGCCCUACUUUCUUCCUGAAAUUUAUCCGCCAUCUCCCUUAAGGGUGAAGCCCUUCUAGGAGCUGACCAGGGUGCUGACCCAAAGGGCAGGCCAUCACAUGCUGCAGGGACAUCUGAGGGAGACUCAAGCUCUGCAGUCAGGCAUUUUCCCAGGCUUGGCGUAAAGAAGUGACGGAGACUCUCCUGUGAUUCCUAGGCUCCUCUCCUGGACAGCACCAGGAAUGUGCCUUCGAGGUGGCUGGGCUUCAGGCCAGCCUGAGGGCGUGCUUGGGUGACUGGAGAAUGCAGCUAUUCGCUGGGAAGAUCUUAAGGAGGAAACCAGAACCUCUCCUUCUCCUGAGCUCUCAUCCCUGGGGGAGCCUGUCAUCCUCAGUCAAAAGACGUAGUCAUCCUCAGUCAAAAGAACCUGCAUUGGGUUUCACCUUUUGCCUUCUUUCCUGCCACCCAGGGUGGGAGGGGGCAGACCUGACUGAGGAGAGUGACACCCAGCCACACCCCAUGGGUCAAUCACUGGAGCUUCUGAAACCUGGCUGGUGCCUGCUGCAGCUGGGUUCCUUCCUUACCCCAGCCCAAGUUCCUGCCCCCAGCUUUGUGCCUGGAGGUCUCAGUUCUGCUGUCUACAUUCUGAGGGGAACUCUUGGCCCCAGCAGACAGUAAAACUCCAAGGCCACCUCCCACCCACCCCCAGCACUGGGUUUGGCCUUUACCACCCAGGACCCGGUGCUCCUAGGCCUGGCAUUUCCCCUUUGCCAAGAGAGUGAGAAGAGAUGUAACUGUGCUCCAGGAACAAACAGUGCCAUUCCGACUUGAAAUAAAGAGACUGAGCGCAUU